CCUACGGGAGGCUGCAGUGAGGAAUAUUGGUCAAUGGCCGUAAGUCUGAACCAGCCAAGCCGCGUGAAGGAUGACGGUCCUAUGCGUUGUAAACUUCUUUUGUCAGGGGACAAAAUCAGCCACGUGUGCCCUACCUCAGGUUCCUUAAGAACAAGCAUCGGCUAACUCCGUGCCAGCCGCCGCGGUAAUACGGAGGGUGCGAGCGUUAUCCGGAUUUAUUGGGUUUAAAGGGUGCGUAGGCGGACUGUUAAGUCCGCGGUAAAAGCCCGGGGCUCAACCCCGGCUCGGCGUUGAAACUGGCGGGCUUGAGAGGGCGAGAGGUAGGCGGAAUGCGUAGUGUAGCGGUGAAAUGCUUAGAUAUCGCGCAGAACUCCGAUUGCGAAGGCAGCAUACCGGCGCCGAUCUGACGCUGAGGCACGAAAGCGUGGGUAUCGAACAGGAUUAGAUACCCGUGUAGUC
rnacentral:rRNA from 1 species